rnacentral:rRNA from 1 species
GAUGAACGCUGGCGGCGUGCCUAAUACAUGCAAGUCGAGCGAACGGACGAGAAGCUUGCUUCUCUGAUGUUAGCGGCGGACGGGUGAGUAACACGUGGAUAACCUACCUAUAAGACUGGGAUAACUUCGGGAAACCGGAUCUAAUACCGGAUAAUAUUUUGAACCGCAUGGUUCAAAAGUGAAAGACGGUCUUGCUGUCACUUAUAGAUGGAUCCGCGCUGCAUUAGCUAGUUGGUAAGGUAACGGCUUACCAAGGCAACGAUGCAUAGCCGACCUGAGAGGGUGAUCGGCCACACUGGAACUGAGACACGGUCCAGACUCCUACGGGAGGCAGCAGUAGGGAAUCUUCCGCAAUGGGCGAAAGCCUGACGGAGCAACGCCGCGUGAGUGAUGAAGGUCUUCGGAUCGUAAAACUCUGUUAUUAGGGAAGAACAUAUGUGUAAGUAACUGUGCACAUCUUGACGGUACCUAAUCAGAAAGCCACGGCUAACCACGUG